rnacentral:lncRNA from 1 species
GUCCAAGCUUCAGCUGUGUGGAGUGUGGGUUUUACCUUGACAAGAAGUGCGCCGAGGCACCUUCACAGCUGAAUCACCCCUUUCAUCAUAACCACAGCCUUAAUCUUCUAGCAAGCUCGCCAUAUGAUGCAAGUCUGUCUGUUAUUUGUGAUUUCUGUGACGAAAUAUGUGACAGGUUUGUUUAUCAUUGUUCUUGUGAAUUAGACCUUCAUAUCAAAUGUGCUUUGUUUUCAUAUAACAUUGCUGAAAAAAGAAUUGGAGAGAUUCAACAAAUUUCCACCAUGGAUCCAUUGAUCUCUAAGGAAAAUGGUGAUGAAGAACUCGAAGGAGCUGAGUGCUUUGCAUGUUGGAAGCCAUUACUAGAUUCUGUGUAUUUAUCUCCUGAUUGUGGAUUUUACCUACAUGCCAAAUGUUUAGAUCCAUGUGCAGUCAAUCACCUUCCCCUCCAUGAACAUCCUCUUAUUUUACAGUUUAACAGUGAACUUCUCUAUUGCAAGAUAUGCCAAGAAACCCAACGUAGGGGAUUUGUUUAUUGUUGUUCAAUUUGCAAGUUUGCUCUUCACAUUGAAUGCGGGUCACCACCACCAAUUAUUGAAGAUAAAAGUCACCAACACCCUUUUGUCUUAUUUUGUAGACGUGUCUCAUUUAUUUGUGAUGCAUGUGGCACUGAAGGGAAUUAUGUAUCCUACAUUUGUUCUACAUGUGGCGUUAUAGUUCAUAGAAAAUGUAUUUCAUUGCCACGCACCCUCAAACACCCAAGGCAUUUUGAGCACCCUAUUUCCCACACCUAUUUCCUUGGGCAAGAUAAGUUUAAAUUGUCGGAAUGCAGAAUUUGCCAUAUAGAGGAUGUGAAUUCAAAGCAUGGAAGCUACUCUUGUUUAGAUUGCGAUUAUAUUGUCCAUGUGAAUUGUGCAAUAGAAGAUUAUAAGUGGUACAAAUUUGACGAGUUAGAUGAGAAUGUUGAAGAAAAUUCAGAAUUGCAACCAUAUGCUGUUGUUGAGGAGACUAAAGAUGGAGAAAAUGUGAUAGCUAUCGAGAUAAAACAUUUUAGCCAUCAACACAACUUAAUCUUUAGCAAUGAGAUCAAGGAUGAUAAAUGUUGUGACGGUUGCGUGCUAUCCAUCUCUACUUCUUAUUAUUAUUGUUCACUGUGUAAUUUCUUUCUCCACAAAUCCUGUGCUGAAUUACCAAGAAAGAAGCAUCUCUGGUUUCACGAUCACCCAAAGCUUCAUCCACUUACUUCAGGCUACAUUUUCCGAUGUGUAAUUUGUGAGUGUGAAACUAGUGGUUUUGCCUACACUUGUGCUAAAUGCAAGGACUACUUUUGCCUUCGAUGUGCUGUAUUUUCUGAUAGCCACAAGUGUCAAGGACAUGAACACGUCCUCCCUUUUUAUGAAGAUUAUCAAGGGUUGUGUAAUGCCUGUGGUGAGUCUACAACAUGUGCAUACAGAUGCAAGAAAUGUGAUUUCUCUUUGCAUGAUACAUGUAUCAAAUUACCACUUAAAGCUCAACACAAAUCUGAUGUGCAUCACUUCACACUCACUUAUCAUGAUGGUAAUAAUUAUUCAGAAUCUCAUUAUUGUGAUAUUUGUGAAGAAGAAAGAAAUCCAAACCAUUGGUUUUAUUAUUGUGCAAAAUGUGACAAUUCAGCUCAUCCCAACUGCCUUCUUGAAAAAUACUCAUUUAUCAAGCUUGGGAGCAUCUACACAAAAGGAGAUCAUUCACACCCUCUCACUUUUGUCCAGAAGGUUCAUUAUUAUCCAAAAUGCCAUGAUUGUGGUGAGCCCUGCCUUGAUCUAGCUCUUGAAUGCAGAACAAUUGGAUCCAACUAUAUUGUUCAUUGGGAAUGUAUAAAAUAUCAAAAAGUUGGAAGAUAAAAAUAUUAUUGUUUGCCAAAAUAAUUAUUGUUGUUCAAGCAGCGAUGAGACAAAUAAGCAGUUUGAUGAUGGCACUGAAAUAUGCUGCUUUGCAUGGUUGUUCCUAAACUAUUUGUAAUUAUUCUGUGUUAAGUAUUUGUGUCCUUAUUUGGUUAUCGUCAUAUGAGAAUUUCCAAAAUUCUGACUUGAUAGAGGUAAUGUAAUUAGAAUUAGUUUAUGAUAUUUCUAUUACAUAUUUGAGCAUUGGAAGAUUGCUUGGUAUCUAUAAAGUUCUCUAUUUUUCAACUCAAUCAAUUGAUUUGCUAUUACUAUGAUGUGUUUAUUAUAGUUUAUUAGAUGUUAUGCACUAUUACAUGCUUCAAAAAUGCUGAACUUCCUCUUUGAUUAUAUUAAUUUGUACAGUAGUUUUGCACAUAAAUUUCCUCUUUAAAAACAUCCAUUAUGUUCUUUUGUUGAUUCUUCAAUAAUAUUGUAUACAUGCUCGUUUUCUCAUGAUGGAUGAAUCUAAGAGUAAUAGAAAGAGUCCAAUCCAUUUCUUAAUCUUUCCAAAAAUUCAUAACUCUUUUCAAAAGUCAAAAGAUUUGCAAGUUUCAUCUUCACUCAUAAGCAAAACUUGACUAAACUCUAAACCAAAUUUUAUUUUGAAGAAUUUUCCAUGCUUAAACUAUGAAUCUUCAGAAGAAGCUUUGCUUUAUUAAAGAGAUUGCAUUAAAUCAUUCUAUAUUAUUAUCAAAGAUGAUAACAAUGCACAGAAAUUUGCCUAAGAAACAACUACAAGAUCAAUGUAUAAAGGAAUGAAAUUUAGCAACAAGCAGACAACUUGAGAGGAAAAACUUACUUCUAUACCACGAGCUCCCAAGGGAAAAAAUUUAUAUUUUUGCUAAUCUUUAUGACUGCAAAUAUAAAGAAUUUUCCUUUCCUGAUUCUACAUUAAUGUUCAAUUUCCUUCUUCAACUCUUAAGAAUCAUGUUACAUUCUUAGAUGUGAUAUAAAAUGUCCAUGAAUAAGGCAAUAUGUUCGAUGUUUAGAUGGGCUUAAACACUUUAAAAUGAUAAGAGAUGGAGAGAUUUGGUGAGUUUAUAAUAAUAAGAUUUUGCUAACCUUGUCCUAAAAACACUUUUUAAGAUUACGAAAUUAAAUAAAAUUUUUAAUCUCAAUGUAUUAAAAUUAUUACAUUAACUAUCAAUUAGAUUCAAUGUAUGGUUUUUUAGAUUGUAGAUUUUUUUUUCUUUUUGUGCAGCUUAUACUUUGGAUGUGCUGCUUCUUGAUUAGCUACGCUUUGAGAAUGGUUCUACUUGCUAAUAACCAUGGCUUCCAUUGGUUGCUUACCUUUUUAAAAAAAAUAGCACAAUUGAUUAGAAUAUAAAUGAAACAAUCUAAAGUUUAAAGUUUGAGUGAUCUCUUUCUUCACCUUUCUGUCUCACUUUCCCUCCCACUCAAACUUAAAAUGAAAUGUUUAGUUUAAUAAGGUUCCAAAGUAGCUAUUUAGUCUCAAUUUAAUCAAAACAACUAAACUAAUCAAAAUUCUAAACUAUUUUAGCCUCUGCCUUUAAGACAAAAGCAACAAAAUCAGUACCAUUGAACAUUUUAAUAAAAUAACAAAGACAAUGUGAAUACAAGAUAAGAGAGGGAGGGAUGGGAUGUAAUGGAAAUCUUAAAGAUAAAAGCACUCCUGUCUAUAAGAAAGAGAUUGACAACAUCAAAGAUGAAUAUACCUUAUGAUACCUAGCUUUCUUGUUAAGCUUUACAAGCAUCAAAAACAUAUAAUUUGUAAUCCAAAAUCUCAUGUAAAAAAAAAAAAACCAUUCUAAAAUUUUGAAAGUAAUUACUAAUUCUCCCUCCAAUUGUACGCCAAGAAGAUAAGCAAGAAGGAAAAGAGAAUGAGAAUACUCUUUUGAUUAAAAGGACAGAGAAUGAGAAUGCUUCUUCCAAUUCAGCUUCGAUAUGUGAUUGAGAUUGAUGUUCCUUCGUUUUGCAUUUUGUUUUCUUUUGUUUAUCCUUUUGUUUUGUUUUUUUACUUAGUACUAUUGAUUAUUUCAUCUAAUGCUUCAACUUAGAAGUCGAAAUAAUUGGUCUUUAUAUAAUAAUUCCUGUGGGAUUUAUAUGUUUUCUUUCUUUUUUGUUUUUUAAACAUUUAAAAGCGGGCAUUUUUUUCUAGGUUCGAAGGAAGAGUCAUAGCUUCUGUUUUUGGCAUGUUAUUUGGUUGUUAAUGCUCUGUUUCAUGAAGUUUAUAAGAUCAUAGGUUCUCUAGUUUGGAACAGGUUUCAUUACUCUGAAAUUUAUGUAUAUUGCUCUUAGAAAUAAAUGGUUUUCAUGGAUGGCUUUCUUUGGCCUUUAUAUCUUUCAGGUUGCUUGAGUAUAUUAAUGCUUUAUCUAGUAUUAUUACACAUUUGCAUCCAAUUCAUUUUUGGUAUUUUUUGGGCAUCGUGCCCCUUCUGCUGUUUUUGUUGUAGAAUUUGUAUAUGUCUGCCUCAUUUGGGUUUAAGGAUAAGAGGACUCUGAGAAUAUUUGGGUUCAAAAGCUGUACGAUUGUUUUCCCAUAACAUUUUUUAUUUCUGUUGAUUUCUUUAUUCCAAGUAGACAUGUUAUAUCCACCCUUUGGUGUUCCUUGAAAAAAAAGGCUUGGUUGCUUGGUUCCCUAUUGUUAAUCACAUGAAGUUGUCUUACUUUUCAGAAAAAAAAAAAAGGAAAAGACUAAAGAGAAAGAAAAAGAGAAUAUUGAAGCCAUUCCAAGAGAAAAGGAGCAAGAAAGGGACAAAGAACUGCUAAUUGAACACGAAAAACAAAAGAAAAAAAAGUACAACGUCUAGUGCCCAAUUUAGUUUCGUGGAUCAAUUUAAUUUGGUUAUAGAAACUAAAUAAGUUUAAGAAAAAAAACAUUCUAAAGUUUUGAAAGUAAUUACUAAUGUUCCCUUGAACAAGAAGAAAUGAAAGAAAAGAGAAUGAGAAUACUCUUUUGGUUAAAGGAAAAGACUAAAGAGAAAGAGAAUAUUGAUGAUACCAUUCCAAAGAGAUGAAGGAGCAAGAAAGGGAUAAAGAGCUGAUAAUUAAACAAGAUAAACAAAAGAAAAAAGUCUAUAUCUAUCAUGCAAUUUAGUUUCAUGGAUUUAUUUAAUUUAUCUAACUUGUAAAAAUUGCAAGGAAUAAUUGUAUAUCUGUUGCAAGCUUAGAACCUUACAACUAGGGCCUUGUUAUUUCUUUGAACUAAGAAUCUAAUUAGCAUGCUGCUUAUUUACUUUAGUGGGAAAUUAAAUAGCUUCAAUUGCACAGGAAUUAAAGGCAUUUCUCAAUUCAAUAGAAUAUCUUUGAUUAUUGCUUAUUUUAGAUAACUUUCUAAAAAUUGCUUCCAUUAGAUAAUUAACUAAAAUUUAAGAUUUUGAAAAGAGAAUGAUUAAAUUAACCAUUUAGACCAACAAUCAAUAACAUGUUAUCCUCUUCAUAAGAAUCACCCUUCCAAAAUUUAAAAGAAUAUAUCUAUUUCUUAAUUUAUACCAAUCUUGUCAUGAGUAAAGAGAAAGCAAUGUUUGUAUCGACUGGAACUUGCUUCAUCGAAUCUGGGCAAUGAUUUACUGCUAUUGUAGACUAUGAACCUUUUGUAAAUCAUUCUCUGUUUUUGCAUAUUAAUGAAUAUAACUUUGCUUUUCAAAAAAAAAAAAAAAAAGAAAGCAAUGAAUAUAAGAGAUUACUUUCAAUAAAAAUAAAUUAUGAGUGCAUAUAUAUAUAUAUAUUUUUUCUUUUACUUUUAAAGAGUAACCUUUAGAUGCUCGACCUUUACUCUCCCUCGAAGUUAUGCCAUUCUAAUUUGAUAGUUCUCAUAGAUUUUUUGAGAUAAAAUAGAAAGAAAUAAGUAUUUUUUAAUGUUUUUCGAAAAAGAUAAAUUGUUUCAUUUCAAAAUGUAAUUAUAUAUAUAUGUAUAAUAUUUUAAAUUGAACUUGAGAUGUUGAUGUCUCAUAUUAAGAGAAAGCUUGGGUUCCUAUUGAUUGGUAAUACCAUACACACUUAUACAAUAUGAAAAAAACAGUGCAUAAAUUCUUGGUUUUAAUUACAAAUAUUGUUUAAUUAAUUAAAAAAAUAAAGAUGAAUUUGCUGAAAAUAAAGAAAGAAAACAACAGUAAGAAUUCCUUUCAUUCUAAACAAGUUGCCACUCUCAUAUAAAUAUUUGAACCAUGGACUUAAGCUUCCAUAAAUAACCAUAAACACAUUUUGCUGCUAAUCAACCCACAAACUUACAAAGAAACAAACAGAAAGGAGAGAUGGAGCUGCUUCAGCAUUUUAGCCAUGAACAUCCACUGAUUUUCAGUGAAGAGCAAGGCCAUGAAAGUGAGGAGCAGGCUUAUUGCUCAGGAUGUGGGGAGCUGGUGUUGGGUCCAAGCUUCAGCUGUGUGGAGUGUGGGUUUUACCUUGACAAGAAGUGCGCCGAGGCACCUUCACAGCUGAAUCACCCCUUUCACCGCAACCACAGCCUUAAUCUUCUAGCAAGCUCACCAUAUGAUGCAGGUCCGUUUAUUUGUGAUUUCUGUGGUGAAAUAUGUGACAAGUUUGUUUAUCAUUGUUCUUGUCAUUUAGACCUUCAUAUCAAAUGUGCAUUGUUUUCAUAUAACAUUGCUGAAAAAAGAAUUGGAGAGCUUCAACAAAUUACUCGUAUAGAUCCAUCGAUCUCUAUGGAAAUUGGUAAUGAAGAACUCGAAAGAGCUGAGUGCUUUGCAUGUUGGAAGCCGUUACUAGAUUCUGUGUACUUAUCUCCUGAUUGUGGAUUUUACCUACAUGCCAAAUGUGUUGAUCUACCUGCAGUCAAUCACCUUCCCCUCCAUGAACAUCCUCUUAUUUUACAGUUUAACAGUGAACUUCUCUAUUGCAAGAUAUGCCAAGAAACCCAACGUAGGGGAUUUGUUUAUUGUUGUUCAAUUUGCAAGUUUGCUCUUCACAUUGAAUGCGGGUCACCACCACCAAUUAUUGAAGAUAAAAGUCAUCAACACCCUUUCAUCCUAUUUUGGAGACGUGUCCCAUUCAUUUGUGAUGCAUGUGGCACUGAAGGGAAUUAUGUAUUCUACAUUUGUUCUACCUGCGGCAUUAUAGUCCAUAGGAAAUGCAUUUCAUUGCCGCGCACCCUUAAACACCCAUGGCAUUUUGAGCACCCCAUUUCCCACACCUAUUUCCUUGGGCAAGAUAAGUUUAAAUCAUGGGAAUGCAGAAUUUGCCAUCUAAAGGAUGUGAAUUCAAAGCAUGGAAGCUACUCUUGUUCUAUUUGCGAUUAUAUUGUCCAUGUGAAUUGUGCAAUAGAACAAUAUAACUGGUACGAUUUUGAUGAGUCUGGAAUAAUAGAUGAGAGUCUUGAAGAAAAUUCAGCGUUGCAACCAUAUUCUAUCAUUAAGGAGACCAAAGAUGGAGAAAAUGUGAUAGUCACCGAGAUAAAACAUUUUGGCCAUGAACACAAUUUAAUUUUAAGCAAUGAUGUCAAGGAUGACAAAUGUUGUGACGGUUGCGUGUUAUCCAUCUUUACUUCUUAUUACUAUUGUUCACAAUGUAAUUUCUUAAUUCACAAAUCUUGUGCUGAAUCACCGAGGAAGAAGCGCCUUUGGCGACACAGACACAUGAAGCCUCAUCAACUUAUUACUUCAGACGGCAUUCGCAUAUGUGAUUAUUGUAGGAAUAAAACUAGUGGUUUUGCCUACACCUGUGUUGAAUGCAACGAAUGUUGUUGCCUUCGAUGUGCUUUAAUUUCCGUUUCUCUCAAACAUCAAGGGCAUGAACACCCCCUCUCCAUUCAAAAGUAUCAAGGGUUGUGUAAUGCUUGUGGUAGGUCUUUCAAGUUUGCAUAUACAUUCAGAUGUAAGAGUUGCAAUUUCUCUUUGCACCUUAAAUGUAUGGAUCUAUCACAUAAAGCUCGACACAAAUCUGAUGUGCAUCAUUUCAUACUCACUUAUCAUGAUGAUAAUGAUUAUUCAGAAUCUCAUUAUUGUGACAUAUGUGAAGAAGAAAGAAAUCCAAACCAUUGGUUUUAUUAUUGUGCAAUAUGUGACACAUCAGCUCAUCCCCAUUGUAUUAUUGGAGAAUAUCCAUUUAUCAAGCUUGGGAGCAUCUACACAAAAGAAGAUCAUCCACACCCUCUCACUUUUGUUCAGAUGGUUUAUUAUUAUCCAGAAUGCCAUGCUUGUGGUGAGCUCUGCCUUGAUCUAGCUCUUGAAUGUAAAACAAUUGGAUGCAACUACAUUGUUCAUUGGAGAUGUGAAGAAUUUUCUUUGUUCAGUAGUGAUGAGACAGAUGAGACAAAUGAGUAGUUUAAUGGUGGCACUCAAAACUGCUGCUUUGUCUUGUUGUUUCUAAACCAUUCUGCCUAAGUAUUUGUGUUCUUGUUGGAUUGUUAUCAUUUGAGAAUUUCCAAAAUUCUGACUUAAUAGAAAUAAUGUAAUUGGAAUUAUUUUAUGAUAUUUCUAUUACAUAUUUGAAUAUUGGAAAAUCGUUUGGUAUCUAUAAGAAUCUCUGUUUUUCAACUCAAUCAAUUGAUUUGCUAUCACUCGAAGAGUUUAUUACAUAGUUUAUCAAAUAUUAUGCGUUGUUAUGUGUUUCAGAAAUGCUGAAUUUCUUCUUUGAUUAUAUUAAUUUUUUAGUAGUCUUGCACAUAAAUAUCCUUUUAAAAAAAUCUAUUUUGUUCUUUUGUUGAUUCUGCAAUAAUUGUAAACUUUAUCGUUUUCUAAUAAUGAUGGAUGAAUCAGAAAGUAAUAGAAAGAGUCCAAUCCAUUUCCUAAUCUUUGCUUUAAACUUGUCAAGGAAUUUUGCUAAAACUCCAUUUGGUCGAGCAAAGAUUUAUCACUGUCUUUUGCAUUAAAUCAUUCUAUAAUUUAUCAAAGAUCAUAACAAUACCUGCAAAAUUGCCUAAGAAACAAGUACCAUAAUGUCAAUAAAGGAAUGAAGAAUUGUACAAAAGAUUCUUUUUCCAGGUAUAACUUUGACAGAUAUUACAAUCAAUAAUAGAAUGUCAUUGACUUCUUCAUUUAACAGAUAAUAAGAACAACCCAAGUGCCUUCAAUUCUUUCCUCCAAACAAUCUCCCCUGUAAAAGAAACAUAUUUUCUACCAAAAAGAAAAUGUAAAAAAAAAAGGAAAACUAAAAGUUUAAUAUUACCUCUUGAUAAUACAACAACUAAUUAAAUUUGCUUGUGUUAACGUUUCAUUAAUUGUAAAUGAUUUAAUGUUAUGUAAUUGAGGGUGAGCCCAUGUUUAAAUUUUCUCGUAGGUUCAUCCCCUUAAACUCGUUAAAUUUGCAGGGAAGAUUCCAGAGGUUAAAGAUUUUAUACUUGCUAGUAACAUAAUUGAUUAGAAUAUAAACGAAACAAUUCCAAAAUAAUCAACUAAGGUUUAAAAUUUGAGUGAUCACCGUUUCUGCUCCUCUUUCUCUCCCUCCCACUCUCCCUCCACACUCAAACUUAGAACUUUGUUUGAUCAUAUUUGAAAUGUUUAGUUUAAUAAGGUUUCAAAGUGAAUACAAGACAAGCGAGGGGUGAGAUGUAAUGGAAACCUUAAGGCACCACUGUCUAUAAGAAAGAGAUUGACAACACCAAAGAUAAAUAUUUUUUUUUUCUAAUUUUCAAAAAAAAAAUCAAAGACUAAUAUACCUUAUGAUACCUAGCUUCCUUUCUAAGCUUUUCAAGAAUCAGAAACAUGUCAUUUAUAAUCCAAAAUCACAUGUAAACAAAAGCCAUUCUAAAGUUUUGAAAGUAAUUACUAAUGCUCCCUCCCAUUGUACGCCAAGAAGAAAAGUAAGAAGGAAAAGAGAAUGAGAAUACUCUUUUGGUUAAAGGAAAAGACUAAAGAGAAAGAGAAAGAAAAUACUGAUACCAUUUCAAGAGUAAAAGAGCAAGAAAGGGAUAAAGAACUGCUAAUUGCAAGGAAUAACUGUAAAUCUAUUGCAAGCUUAGAACCUUACAACUAUGGCCUUGGUAUUUUUUUGAGCAAAGAAUCUAAUUAACAUGCCGUUUAUUUACUUUAGUGGGAAAUUAAAUAGCUUCAAUUACAUAGGAAUCAAAGGCAUUUCUGAAUUCAAUAGAAUAUCUUUGAUUAUUGCUUAUUUUAGAUAACUUUCUAAAAAUUGUUUCCGUUAGAUAAUUAACUAUAAUCUAAGAUUUCGAAAAGAGAAUGAUUAAAUUAACCAUUUAGAUCAACAAUUGAUAAUGUGUUAUCCUCUUUAUAAGGAUCACUCUUCCAAGAUUUAAAAGAAUAUGUCUCUUUUUUAAUUUAUACCAAUCUUGUCAUGCGUAAAAAGAAAGUAAUAAAUAUAAGAGAUAACUUUUAAUAAAAAUAAAUUCUGAGAGCAUAAUUUUUUGUUUUGUUUUAGUUUUCAAGAGUAAUCUUUAGAUGUUCUGCCUUUGCUCCCCUUCAAAGUUAUGUCAGACUUUUGAUAGUGUUUAUAUAUUUUUAAAGAUAAGGCAAUAAUAGUCAUUUUCUAAUUCUUUUUGGAGGAGAUAAAUUGUUUAAUUCCAAAACGUAAUUAUAUAUUAUUAUAUAAUUAAGUUGAGAUGCUGAUGUAUUCUCCUUCAGACAAAGCUUGGGUUUUCUAUAGAUUGGUGUUACCAUGUACCCUUAUAUAAUAUGAAACGAAUGUGCAUAAUUCUUAGUUUUAAUUAGAAAUAUUGUCUUUCUUUACAAUAAUCAAAAUAUUUCAUUAUCAUAUGUACCAAAAAGUUAUUAAUAUGAUAUUUUAUUAUCAUACAAUGCUAAGUUGGCCUAGAACACUGUAAAUUGUGUGCCUUUUAUCAAACAGGUUUAAGGGAAGCUAGGAAAUGAUAAAACAGAGGAUCUCGCUUGGCAAACAAACUAAUGUAAUCAAGCUCAUGUGCUUUCUCCAACUACCCAAAUUUCUAUUAGAAAGUUAGAUUAAGUCCAAAUGAAUUAGAUUAAAUAUGAUCAAUUUGACAAGAAAAUAUUGGCAAUUACUUACUUUUGUAGAAAUGUGCAUUAUUUUUCGUAUGAAAAUAUAAGCUUAAAUAUGUUGCUUGCGUACAUCCAUUUAUCUUUAUUAUUGAAAAACAUUAUAAUGAACUCUAAAGCUAUGAUGGCUUCUAGUUUCCAAAACAAAUGUAUGGUUGUUUAGAUUGUAGAUUUUUUUUUCUUUUUUGUGUAGCCAAUAUUUUGGCUAUGCUACCACUUAAUUAACUGCCAAUCUGGUUUAACUGAAAAUUCUAACCAUUUGUACUCUUGUGAUUUGGGCUACAAAUGGCGAUUUGGUCAUACAUAUUUUGUUUUGACAAUGAGAAAUGACAAUUUUUUAAAAUUUUCCUUGAGGGAACACCUUAUCAAUUAGAACUUCAUACUUUUACUUGGAAGUCUCGUGUUUGAAUUUUCAUAUAAAUAAGAUGAGAUUUAUAAAAUGACAGAAGGUUAGUUUUUAUUAUGUAGUCCAAAAUCAAAAGGAAAAAAAAAAACCAUUCUUAAGUUUUAAUUUGGUUAUGGAAACCAACUACAAAAAAUUGAAAGGAAUUUGUAAAUCUCUUGCAAGCUUUAGAACCUUACAAUUUUUUAAAAAAAUUUUCCAUUUGAUAAUUAACUAUAUAUAAUCCAAGAUUUUGAAAGCAAAUAUCCAGGGUAUUAUAGAGAAAGAGUGGGUAGAUGUUAAUAAUAAUGAAAAAAAGAAGAAGAAAGAAUAGGUGAAAAAGAAAAAAAGAAAAAAGGGAAAUAAAGAGAAUUUUACUUUAUUCUUUUCAAGUUUAUUUUGUGAUUAAAUUAACCAUUUAGAUCAACAAUCAAUAACGUGUUAUCCUCUCUAUAAGAAUUACUUUUUCAAGAUUUAAAAUAAUAUAUCCUUUCUCAUAAGUGAAGAGAAAACAAGGAAUAUGAGAGAUAACUUUUAAUAAAAAAAUAAAUUCUGAAAGCAUAAUUUUUUUUUUCUUUUACAUUUUAAGAGUAACCUNAAAGCCAUAAUUUUUUUUUUUCUUUUACAUUUUAAGAGUAACCUUUAGAUGCUCCACCUUUGCCUCCCUUCAAAGUCAUGCCAUUAUUUUGAUAGUGUUUAUAGAUUUUUCGAGAUAAGGUAGAAAUAGCCAUUUUCUAAUACUUUUCAAAAGAGAUAAAUUGCUCCAUUCUAAAAUGUAAUUACAUAUAUAUAUAUUUCAAAUUUAAGUCGAAAUGCUGAUGUGUCCUCUUUCAAAUAAAGCUUGGGGUUCCUAUUGAUUGAUAAUACCAUAUACACUUAUACAAUAUGAAAUAUAUGUGCAUAAAUUCUUGAUUUUGAUUAGAAAUAAUUUUUCUUACAAUAAUCAAAAUAUUUCAUUAUCAUAUGUCAAAAAAAUAUUAAUAUGUUUUUUAUUCACAACAUAUUUAUUUUGCUUUGGCUACCAUGGGAAACAGUGGAAAGUAAUUAGAAAAAAUUAAAGAUGAAUUUGCAGAUAAACAUUGAAAGAGAUGGGAAAUGAAUCUUCCAUUUAAAAACUAGAUUGUUAUUCGAAGCAGAAAGAGAUAUAUUAGAAAGAAAGAAAGAGAAGAGGGGUAAAAAUUCCUUUCUUUUUAAACAAGUUGCCAUUCUCAUCACCGAAACAAUAUAAAUAUUUGAGUCAUAGGCUUAAGCUUCCAUAAGUAACCAUUAACACAUUUAGCUGCUACUCAAACCAAAAACUUACAUAGAACAAAAAAAAAAAGAGAGAUGAAGCUGCUUCAUCAAUUUAGCCAUCAACAUCCACUGAUUUUCAAUGAAGAACAAAGCCAUGAAAGUGAGAAGCAGGCUUAUUGCUCAGCAUGUGGGGAGUUGCUGUCGGGUCCAAGCUUCAGCUGUGUGGAGUGUGGGUUUUACCUUGACAUGAGGUGCGCCGAGGCACCUUCACAGCUAAAUCACCCCUUUCACCGCAACCACAGUCUUGAUCUUCUAACAAGCUCGCCAUAUAAGACAGGUUCGUGUACUUGUCAUUUCUGCAACAAAAAGUGUGAGAAGUUUGUUUAUGAUUGUUCUUGUACUUUAAACCUUCAUAUCAAAUG